CUGCCGGUGAUAAACCGGAGGAAGGUGGGGAUGACGUCAAGUCAUCAUGGCCCUUACGACCAGGGCUACACACGUGCUACAAUGGCGCAUACAAAGAGAAGCGACCUCGCGAGAGCAAGCGGACCUCAUAAAGUGCGUCGUAGUCCGGAUUGGAGUCUGCAACUCGACUCCAUGAAGUCGGAAUCGCUAGUAAUCGUGGAUCAGAAUGCCACGGUGAAUACGUUCCCGGGCCUUGUACACACCGCCCGUCACACCAUGGGAGUGGGUUGCAAAAGAAGUAGGUAGCUUAACCUUCGGGAGGGCGCUUACCACUUUGUGAUUCAUGACUGGGGUGAAGUCGUAACAAGGUAACCGUAGGGGAACCUGCGGUUGGAUCACCUCCUUACCUGCAAGA
rnacentral:rRNA from 1 species